AAGUACAACCAGCUCCUCUUGUGGUUUUCCCUCUUCCACCUAGAUGCCUCUCCUAACCCCAUCAGAGCCUAACAAAUCACAUGAGAAGACUGACUAAAAAGGGAGUUUAUUGCUAAAAUAUGAAAUUAUGACUACAAUCAGAUUGCAUUAUUGGAACACGUCUGGAAACAGCAAACAGUGUCAGGUAGAGGCCCUGGCCAGCAGAAUAUACAUUCCAUUGUUGGCAUGGAUAGCUCACAGAUUGCAAGCAACUACCCAGUGACUCAAAUCUCUGUCAUGGCAGUGAUCUCUCCAGGCCAUCCUAAGGAGAAAAGGAGACAAAAAGAAAUGCACCAAUCAAAUUCUGGUGGGACCACUGAAGAAAGCAAGCCAAGGAUAGAAGUUGGCAUUACGACAGGACAAGUGUCAGGUGACGGAAUCUUCAGCCACAUGCUGAGGCCCACAUCCCAGCAAAGGGCCUAUUUCCUACUCCCAAGGUCUCCUGGCCCCGUUCUCUCUUCUCCUUGUCAUCACUGCCUGUUUUUCUGCUCCCUCUUGUAUGUUUAUGUUUGUGGAGACAAGAGGAAGGAGAAGCAGCAGCCAUCUUCUUUUGGGCAGUGUGCAGGUUGGGCACAGGGACAAGUGAAUUGGCAGCAAUGUCAGUAGUUAGGAGCAAGUAGAUUCAUUCAGGGAGUAGGCCCCACUGUGAGGUCAUCUUGCCUGAGGAGAGGCGUCCCCCUCCACACACACACUUAAAACUUGGAGCCAGCAGCACCUUAGAAGAAACAUGGGGUUGCCAUUUUGCUCCACAUUACUUUCUCCCCUCUUCCUGGGAAUAUGGAUGUAUGGAUCGUUGAUCCCCUGUGCCUUACUUGGACCCACCCUGGUCCCCCCCACUCUCCAGCACCUCAGAAAUGUGGGAAGCCAGGGAGAGGGUUUGCCUGUCUCCUCCUCACCAGGAGACUCAGCACCCACCAGUCUCUCCUGCCCUCCUCCAUCAGUGGUACUCUGCCCCUUAAAUAUCCUGGCACACCCAGGCAACCCCCAAGACCCAUCCUGCUUCCUGCUACUUCCUCAGUCCUGCCUCUUCUUCAGCAUGACACUGCAUUUUGAGCCAACCCCGCCCACACAGCAACCCACCCCGUUACAGGUAGUGUAUGCUGGCCUGGGUGCAGAGGCAGUGAUAUCAGCCCUGGAAAUGGGGUGCAUGUCGCUGGAGUGGUGAGAAGCAUCUCCUCGCAUCCCUCCAUCAGGAUGAGUAUUGGACAAUGGAUACAUUGUACAAGCCGCCUUGGGAUUUUCUUAAUGAAAGGCGGGGUAUAAAUUUAACAAUAAGUAAAAAUAUGCAACCGUAUCAGGCUGUACAUAACUCCUGGCUGAUGGUGGUGAUGAGGAAGUACCUUGUGUGAUGAUAAUGUCAUAUCUCACUUUGUUUUAUACUGCAUUUUACCAAGAAGACGGGAGAAAAGAGACACAUGAGGGAAGAGUUCUGCCCCAAAGUACAGCAGUUUUGAGGACCAUGCAACAGGGGGACAGUUGUCCUGCUGGGAACAAAGUCCCUGAUCAGACGUUCAAGUUGACUGGAUUUACGCAUUUUGGCCCAUAACCACGGUUUUGUGUGUCCGGCCGUUCUGCAGUUACAACCUCGGCUAGCUAUAACUGUGGUUAUCCUGUAUGUCUAAACUCAGCCACUGAGUGUAGAGCUCUGAUUCCUGUGUAUGUUUUGCAGCUCCCUUAAGUUUAUUUUCAGUAAGAAAGUUGCAGUCAAAGCCUUGGCUUCCUUGCACAGCUUUACAGUGAUUGGCUGAGCCCUGCCCAGCAGUGCCUGCUGUGUCCCAGGAAAAUCUAACAAAAAAGGAGGAGGAGUCAGUCUACCUGGACUCAGAAUUUGAAGACUCAACAAACAGUGAUCUGGUACUCUGGGAGUAGGCCACAAAGAACCGGAAGUGCAGGGUAGAUAGUGGGUUUAUGUUUAUGUGUUGUUGUUGUUUGGUGUAUGUGUUGUGGUGUUAAUCUCUCUUUUCUCUUCACUCCUCCUAAAGCCAGGUCCUUAUCACUUUAUCCAAAUAUACCACACUUUUGUUUAGUAACUGCUGGUCUGUGUAUAGUUUGCCUACUUCUAAAACUCCCCAUGGGCUAGCUGUUUGAGGCAUGUGAGUGUAAAGAAUGGGGUAGUUCCAGGGCUAGCUGCCUACCCUAUCAGGAGGGCUGUUACAAUGCUGAUAGAAUUGGUUAGCUAAAGUCAGAGAAAGAGAAUCCCAGGGCAGAGACAUAGCAACGUUGACAAUGGCCCUGGGGUGAGAUUUAGGGCUGCUGCCACCAUCGCCACUCACGCCAUUCACAUGCCACCCAGCCUGCCUCCCUCUGCAGCCAUGACAUCACAUCAUUAGACAAUGGCGUGACUAGCAAAGGGAGGCAGGGCGGCAGCAGGUGGGUGAUCUGACAGCCUUCAGGCGCCAUUAAGGCAGGCAGGCCGAUGCCCAGCGGUGGGUGGCCGCAGUGGGCUGUGGAAGCAGGUGGGCAUGGUGAGAGAGUGGCAAGUGGCCCCCAGAUACCAGUUGCCCAGGGACAUUUGAUCUCCUGCUCCAUUACUCCUACAUGUCUGGCCCAGACCUGGAGGACUGCUGCUUUAGGUGAUUCUAGAUUGCAGCCUCCUGCUCUUUCAGUGUGAUGUGUAUGCUAAGCCAUGGCAAAAUGAUACCUGCAAAAUUCAGGUAAAUGCAGUUGGGUAGAAGAGGGGAUUUCAGCAAGGGCAGCUUUUCUCACCCCUAUGUCUCAAGCUGCCCUUGCCCCCUUUUUAAUGCAACUAUUAGAAGAGCCCCAUCCACUUUUGCAUCUGGUCCUUCUGUAGUCAUACUGGACGGCCUGACCAGGAGCAGUUUCAGUCCUCCUCAUAGCCUGUAAUGUGGAUUGGCAGGGAAGACAAGUGUCCCAAGUGGUGUCUGGCUGACUGCUGUGGGGAGCAGAACUCUGAACCAAAUGGACCGUCUGUCUGAUCCAGCAAGGCUCUACUCCUUAAGUGAAGGCCCAGCAAAAGUUGGGAAUGCCAGUUUGUACAAUAUAGACAUGUCCAGAAUGCCCCUUCAAAACGACUGCCCGGGUACAUCCUUAAGUGACUGCUGAAGAGAGAUUUGAGAUCUUUCUCUCUCUACAGUUCAGCUAUCUGUGUGUCUCAUUUGUCUGUGUGAUUCCGUUCACUUGAUUAAGAUAUCUGCAAAGCCCUCUGUUUGGCCUUAGCUCCCACUCAAGUGGUAAACUUGUGCCUGGAUUUUACCACUUCAGAUUGUAGGUGGGAGUUUUACCUGACCAAAUGCUCCUUCAUGUAAACAUAUCUAAUCAACAACAUCUAGCCUUUUCCCCUUUCAAACUUACUAACAGGAGGAGGGGAGAUUUUGAGGGGCUGGUUUCUCUUUAAGGGAUAAGUCCUAGUCUGUGUAUUAUUUGCCAGGGCUAGCAUUUGCCAGGGCUAGCAAACUCCUGUGUUUUUAUUUGCCCCUCCCUGGAGGGGGUGGUCAGCUAGGGCUGUGGGAGGCCCCACAUUCCUUUGAGACAUAUCCUGUGUCUCAGUUUGAAGCCUACUCUCUACAUAAGAGGUGAAGGCCUGAGAGCAUAGCAAACAGGGAUAGCAAACAGGAUGUUGGAGUUUUUCAGGAGUUUAGUGUGAAGUGUACGGGGGAGCCUGGAACAAGCCCCUCUUAUCACAAGGAGCCCGGUGUAGAAUGGAAGAAGAGGAAACUUCUCCAAAAUGAGGAGUAUGGUGAAAAGAAAGCUGAAAGGCAAAAUCAGGAGAAUCACUUGGCUCCAAAAUGCAUGGAGUUUACUCAAAACCACAAUACUAGGAGCCCCAUUAGAUUGUAUACCCAAAAGGAGGAAAGAUACAACUAAGUCCAGGAGGAUGCCAGCAUGGCUAACAGCAAAGGAUACUGAGCAUAUACCUGGAGGCUAAAGAACUGAGUCAGACAGAAGUGGCAUGAGAUGGUUUUCUAAACUGUCUGGAAAAACUGAAAUCUAGCAAAUCGCCAGGGCCAGACGGCAUCCAUCCAGGAGUCCUCAAAGAACUCAAAUGUGAAAUUGCUGACCUCCUUGCUAAAAUAUAUAACUUAUCCCUGUAAUCAGGCUCUGUACCAGAGGAUAAAAGUAGCAAAUGUAACACCGAUUUUCAAAAAGGGAUCCAGGGGUGAUCCGGGAAAUUACAGGCCAUUUAGCUUAACAUCUGUUCCAGGCAAAUUGAUGGAAAGCAUCCUCAAGGAUAAAAUUGUAAAGCACAUAGAAGAACAGGCCCUGCUGGGAGUGAGCCAGCAUGGCUUCUGCAAAGGUAAAUCUUGCCUUGCCAACCUUUUGGAGUUUUUUGAGAGUGUCAGCAAGUGUGUGGAUCAAGGUGAUCCAGUUGACAUAGUAUACCUGGACUGCCAAAAAACUUUAAACAAAGUUCCUCAUUAAAGACUCCUGAGAAAACUUAGCAGUCAUGGGAUAAGGGGACAAGUACAUGUGUGGAUUGCUAACUGGUUGAAGGACAGGAAACAGAGGGUAGGUAUAAAUGGAGAGUUUUCACAAUGGAGGGAAGUAAGAAGUGGGGUCCCCCAGGGAUCUGUACUGGGACUGGUGCUUUUUAAUUUAUUCAUAAAUGAUCUAGAAGCAGGAGUAAGCAGCGAGGUGGCCAAAUUUGCAGAUGAUACCAAACUCUUUUGGGUAGAAAAAUCCAAAGCGGAUUAUGAGUAGCUCCAAAAGGAUCUCUCCAAACUGGGUGAGUGGGCAACCAAAUGGCAAAUGUGGUUCAAUGUUGGCAAGUGGGACUCUGUUGGUCCUUUUGGAUCUCUCAGUGGCUUUCGAUACUAUCAACCAUAGUAUCCUUCUGGAACAUCUGAGGGAGUUUGGGGUGGGAGGCACUGCUUUGCAGUGGUUCCGCUCCUACCUUUCUGGCAAAUUCCAGAUGGUGUCCCUUGGAGACUAUUGCUCUUCAAAAUCUGAGCUUUUAUAUGGGGUCCCUCAGGGCUCCAUACUGUCUCCAAUGCUUUCUGAUAUGUACAUGAAACCGUUGGGAGAGAUAAUCCAGAGAUUUGGUGCUGGGUGCUAUCAGUAUACUGAUGACACCCAAAUCUAUUUCUCCAUGUCAACUUCAUCAGGAGAAGGCAUAUCCUCCCUGAAUGUCUGUUUGGAAGCAGUAAUAGGCUGGAUGAGGGAUAACAAACUGAGUCUGAAUCCAAACAAGAUGGAGGUACUUAUUGUGCGGGGUCGUCACUCAGGAAGCGAUAUUGAUCUACCUGUUCUAGAUGUGGUCACACUUCCUCAGAAGGAACAGGUAUGCAGUCUGGGAGUGCUUCUGGAUCCACACCUUUCCCUGGUUCCCCAGGUUGAGGCAGUGGCCAGAAGCAAUUUCUAUCAGCUUUGGUUGAUAUGCCAGCUGCGUCCAUUUCUUGAGGUUCAUGGUCUCAGUACACUGGCUGGUAACCUCCAGACUUGAUUACUGCAAUGCGCUCUAUGUGGGGCUGCCUUUGUACGUAGUCCGGAAACUACAGUUAGUACAAAAUGGGGCAGCAGCCAGGUUGGUCUCCGGGUCAUCUCAGAAAGACCAUAAUACUCCUGUAUUAAAUGAGUUGCACUGGCUGCCAAUAAGUUUCCGGGCAAAAUACAAAGUGCUGGUUAUAAGCUAUAAAGCCCUAAACAGCUUACGCCCACAGUACUUAAGAGAGUGUCUUCUUCUGCAUGAUCCCCAUCGUCCACUGCAUACAUCAGGGGAGGCUAGUCUGUGGCUACCUUCAUGUUGCCUGGUGGCCACCCAGGGACAGGCCUUCUCUGUUGUUGCCCCGAGACUUUGAAACGCGCUUCCCGUGGGAAUAAGAGUCUCCCUGUCUCUAGCGGCUUUUAAAAAGUGUUUGAAGACUCAUAUUUUUACCCAGGCUUUUAAACUUUUUAAAUUUUCGAUUGUUUAUUGAUUUGUUUUAAAUUGUUUUUAGAAUUUUAAUUGAUUUUAAUGUUUUGUUUAUUGCUUUGUUGUGAACCACCCUGAGACCUUGGUUUGGAGCGGUAUAUA